UAAAAAAAGAAAAGAAAAAGGAGAAAAUAUAAACUAACGUAAGCGAGAGGUAAACGAAGGGGCGUGGUAUUAUGACGUCAUUUCGACAUAGGUGCUCGUUAUCGGACAAGUCAUCGGUUGUCUUUUAGUUAACGUCGAGAGAGUCGUCGGAGUAGUAGGUACUUGUUAGUGUAGCUAGAAUCGUUAUAUGGUUAGAGACGUUUAUUUAACUAGAGUUGAAGUAUUUUAAAGAACCGUCUUGUUAUAGUGUAUAGUAGUGCGUGUUAUAUGAAUUAUCAUUUAAAUGCAUAUACGAUAAUACUCAGUGGCAAUAAUUAAGCGAUCUGAUAAUUAUUGCUCUCGCUCGGACGCACUUGGAAUUGGCAUCGCGGGAGACAAUAAUCGAGGUAGAGAAACACUAGCUCGCAGGCGCUAUUGCGGCGGAACACUGAUGGCGGAGGAGCAAAUAGGACGCAAUAAACACGGCACUACAUCAUCCGUGGGCAACCCUUUAUGCGACGAGGAGCGGCCACGGCCCAGUGUACCACUCGAAAUCCCUGCGGACAAACGGACGAACCAUCGACUACUCCUCCCUUUACCUUUCUCUCUCUCUCUCUCUCUCUCUCUCUCUCUCUCUCUUUCUCUCUGUCUAUCUCUAUCUUUCUCUAUCUCUAUCACUUUGUUUCUCUUCCUCUCCUUGUCUAUUUCUCAUAGUCUCCCUCU